GACGAACGCUGGCGGCGUGCUUAACACAUGCAAGUCGAACGGAAAGGCCCUGCUUUUGUGGGGUGCUCGAGUGGCGAACGGGUGAGUAACACGUGAGUAACCUGCCCUUGACUUUGGGAUAACUUCAGGAAACUGGGGCUAAUACCGGAUAGGAGCUCCUGCUGCAUGGUGGGGGUUGGAAAGUUUCGGCGGUUGGGGCUGGACUCGCGGCUUAUCCGCUUGUUGGUGGGGUAGGGGCUUACCAAGGCUUUGACGGGUAGCCGGCCUUAGAGGGUGACCGGCGACAUUGGGACUGCGAUACGGCCCAGACUCCUACGGGAGGCAGCAGGGGGGAAUAUUGCACAAUGGGCGGAAGCCUGAUGCAGCAACGCCGCGUGCGGGAUGACGGCCUUCGGGUUGUAAACCGCUUUCGCCUGUGACGAAGCGUGAGUGACGGUAAUGGGUAAAGAAGCACCGGCUAACUACGUG
rnacentral:rRNA from 1 species